AUCUAAUAUUAUGGUUGUUACGAAAAUAAACAACCAACAAUAACAAUAGAACGACUUGUUUUCCUUUUCUCUCUCGACGAGUCGCCCUAGCCGCCACAGACCAAACUUUCAGAUCUAAGUUUGCCCUCUCCGGUGAGCGGCGCUCUUCACCGGAGCCGUGAGAGGACCAUUUUGCUGCGGUUCUCGACGGUUCUUCAUGUCAAGGGUUAAUAGUCCCGCUUUCUUCUCAGAGAGUGUGGAUCUCCCUUUCCCAGCGGUGGCAGAGGAUGGAAGAUUUGUUUUCGUCAGAUCCAGCAUGAGCUAGGAUCUCAUUGUUUGACCUUCUCCAACUUGUUGCUUGGUUUUUGUCCUCAGUCUGGUAAGCUUUUGUUCUGAUCGAUUUUCUUCUCCGAGUUGCUAGAGAUAUAGUAGUUUAGUAUGGUGUGCAGAGUUUUCUGACCUUCGAUUGGGGAAUCUGUCCCUUGCUAAGCAGAGGUUUCGUUUUGUUUGAUUAUGAUGGUAGUCUCCAAAGUUUGUCGAGUUAUCUCCUUCUUGCUGUUGUUCGGUGUUGUGAUAGCUAUCUUGAGUAUUGCGUCGUUCUCGUUGAGAUUGGUGUUGUUUGAGAAGUUAGGCCUCACUCCUUGUACUUGCUUUCGAGAUCUGUUGAGAUCUGUUUGCGUUUGAAAGGCUUUAGUUUGACGUUCAUUGGCGUACCAACGUCGUCAUCACGUCCGGAAGUGAGUUGCUUGCCGAUUAUGAAGUCUUGAGAGAUUGGCUCUCACCAUGAUAGGAGGUGGUAGAUGUUACUUCUGUUUGGCCAUGGGCAUCCUUGGUAAAUCUCUUUCGCUGGUUCUUCAGAAGAAGGGUGCUUUGUUUUCUUUGUUCUCUUGUCUCUCUUUAGGUUUUAUUGCCGGUUACCUCUGUUUUUAGUUUAAGGUAUCGUUUCCUUUUGUUUUUGGUUGUAAAAUUUUUGUUUCGUAGUUCUAUCUUUAGACUCUGGGGACAUAUAUGUUGUCCGCCGGCUUACUGACUCUGGGGACAUCGAUGUCGUCCGCCGGCUUUAGCUUUGUAUUUCA